rnacentral:rRNA from 1 species
AUUGAACGCUGGCGGCAGGCCUAACACAUGCAAGUCGAACGGUAACAGGAAGAAGCUUGCUUCUUUGCUGACGAGUGGCGGACGGGUGAGUAAUGUCUGGGAAACUGCCUGAUGGAGGGGGAUAACUACUGGAAACGGUAGCUAAUACCGCAUAACGUCGCAAGACCAAAGAGGGGGACCUUCGGGCCUCUUGCCAUCGGAUGUGCCCAGAUGGGAUUAGCUAGUAGGUGGGGUAACGGCUCACCUAGGCGACGAUCCCUAGCUGGUCUGAGAGGAUGACCAGCCACACUGGAACUGAGACACGGUCCAGACUCCUACGGGAGGCAGCAGUGGGGAAUAUUGCACAUUGGGCGCAAGCCUGAUGCAGCCAUGCCGCGUGUAUGAAGAAGGCCUUCGGGUUGUAAAGUACUUUCAGCGGGGAGGAAGGGAGUAAAGUUAAUACCUUUGCUCAUUGACGUUACCCGCAGAAGAAGCACCGGCUAACUCCGUG